CCGAGGCCAGGCAGUGAUGGUGAGCAUCAUGAGAUGAGCAUCCUUUCCCCGAAUAUCAGUGCGCACUAAUUUUGCUCAGCUGCAGAUCAAAUUGCCUCUCGAGACCUACCACCACCCAGCCGGCUGCGCCCAAAAGAGCUACAAAGGAUGUCUACUGGUAACAGCAGCAGGGGAACAGCGGAGAAGGAUGGUACAGUAGCUGGCGUGAACAAGACAGUGGCAUCCGAGCCGAGCUAAGCGUAUUUCGACUGCACAGUGUCUGAGCGCCGGGAAAUUACACCCCCUAAUUUGUCUUUUCGACUGGAACAACGACGUUCACUUCUAACGCUAUUUGGAUACAUUUUUGCACCCUUCAUCCUUGGAUAGUGAACUACAGAACACAUCCUUGGCCAGCUCACGGCCACCAUUCACGCCCAAACCACAGAAUGACAGUGUUCACUCCUCCCAACCGAGCCAAAUAAAGACUUCCCAUCCUACUAAAGCCCCAUCUCAUCUCUCCAGUACUGUACCCCUGACCACAUCCACACAGACAGAGCAAACGUUGCCCAGGGACACAGUGGAACUGGUAGCCCCCGUCGGCCCAGAGCCCCAAACUGUGGCGAGAAGGAACCAGACCCCCAAAGCCGUCACCCUCCCAGUAACCCAGGUCGUGUCACUUUCAACCAUCAUCAACGGCAGCCAGAGUGCUGAUGAUGGAGUGAUCAUCAGCCAUCACUGGGAGCAGGUUGGAGGUCCAUCCAUAGAGCUUGGAGCUUUCUCAGACACACAGAUUCUCAACCUAUCCAACCUUGCCCCUGGGGAGUACACAUUCAGGUAUGGAUAGGACCUCUGUGGCCUAAACUUAGGGUCCAAAUCAAUUUCAUCCCAGUCAAUUCAAGCCUGAAAUUCAAAUAGUGAAAUAAAUCAAUCAAUCAAAUAGUUUGGGUAUGCUGCUCUACCAUGGAACAAAGGUCAGACUGCACUGACAGUUACAGUGCACGGUCUCUAUUAAUCAUAGUUGGUGUUUAA
ensembl:lncRNA